GGUUACAUUUGUUGGUGUUGUGUUGAAAGAGGGUAAUGGAAUUUGGUUGUGUUCUGAUAAUUUAAUAGGAAGAUUAGUUCUGAUUUCUUGUUGCCAUAAGUUUAUGGUUUAAUUUUAAACACGAAGUGUUACUCUUUUUACAUGAUUGUGUUGUGAUUCGUGCAUCUCCUGUGGCUGCAAAUCGGAUGACUAUCAAAGAUUGAAAUUCUUCAGGUUUCGGAAAUCGGCAAAUAUGUCUGUUUUGUAUUGUACAGGGUCCGGCAGAGGAAUCUGAUGUUUUUGGAUUGGUUAAAACUGCAGGCAUUUCAUGGAGCAGUGAAAUGCAGCUCACCGUGCGUUUGUUAUAGAGAAUUUUUUUAAAAGUGGUGAUUCAGUUGUUAAAAUGCAACGAGCGUUUAGAUUGCAUUUUAAUGUCGGGCGACACGGGAGAGUUCCUACUCGAAACACCAUAUUAUUGUGGGUAGAAAACUUUAGAGCCACCAGUUCUUCAUUGAAAAGGAAACCGCCCCAGAGGAGUAAGGACAGUCCGCACACCGGAAAACAUCGAGGCCAUUAGACAGGCGAUAGGGAGAAGCCCUCGUCGUUCGGCGUUGAGACAUGCUGCUGCUCUGCGCAUUUCGGAUCGAAGUGUAAGUUCAGGCAAAGGCUCUCCUUCUAAAAGCUACUGUUCAUCCAGCUCAACCUCAACAGAAAAUGUAGUCUCCACUCUUGAAAGUAAGAUUAAAGGCAAAGUGACAUCACACUUACUGAAAAUGGCUA